AGAGUGGUUUGGAGGCACUAAAGGCAAUUAAAAGCUGGUGUGUGACGCUGGGCGUCCAAGCAACCCCACUCUAGUGCUUGAAUUAGGGAGAUGCAGCAGCAGGAGAGAGGCAAGGAUGGAGCUGGAACCAGAUUAGCCCAUCGAACAGGGCACGGUCGACAAGCGAGAGCCAGCGAGAGUGGCCCUAGAUCUCUGGCUGCAGUAACUUGGUUGAUGUUGGUGAUAUUUAAUGAGAUAGGAAAGGUGGGCAGUGUGGUGGGGCUGGGGGACAGAUUUGGGAAGAGCUUUUGAGGCCUCCUUCAGUCCCAGGAAUCUCUCUUCAGCCACAUGGCUUUGAAUGGACUCCAAAAUGUUUGUUCUUAAAAAGAACAAUAAUUGAAUGUGGCUUUUGUUAAUAAUCAGCUCUUCCUCUUCCCUCCCUUCUCUUUUUUUAAAAACAUUUUAUUGGUUCCUUUCCUUUCCCUUCCUUUGAAGUGUCCAGGGCCAGCAGACCUUGGACCUGGGGCCAGGGAGGGGAGCAGCAGAGCCAGAAGCAGGGUAUACACAGGGGAAUAAGCAUGUAAUCCAAGAAGGGGAUUACCCUUCUUGGG
rnacentral:lncRNA from 10 species